AGAACGAACGCUGGCGGCAUGCCUAACACAUGCAAGUCGAACGAGACCUUUCGGGGUCUAGUGGCGCACGGGUGCGUAACGCGUGGGAAUCUGCCCCUUGGUUCGGAAUAACAGUUAGAAAUGACUGCUAAUACCGGAUGACGACGUAAGUCCAAAGAUUUAUCGCCGAGGGAUGAGCCCGCGUAGGAUUAGCUAGUUGGUGAGGUAACGGCUCACCAAGGCGACGAUCCUUAGCUGGUCUGAGAGGAUGAUCAGCCACACUGGGACUGAGACACGGCCCAGACUCCUACGGGAGGCAGCAGUGGGGAAUAUUGGACAAUGGGCGAAAGCCUGAUCCAGCAAUGCCGCGUGAGUGAUGAAGGCCUUAGGUUGUAAAGCUCUUUUACCAGGGAUGAUAAUGACAGUACCUGGAGAAUAAGCUCCGGCUAACUCCGUGCCAGCAGCCGC
rnacentral:rRNA from 1 species